rnacentral:rRNA from 1 species
GACGAACGCUGGCGGCGUGCUUAACACAUGCAAGUCGAACGGAAAGGCCCUGCUUUUGUGGGGUGCUCGAGUGGCGAACGGGUGAGUAACACGUGAGUAACCUGCACUUGACUUUGGGAUAACUUCAGGAAACUGGGGCUAAUACCGGAUAGGAGCUCCUGCUGCAUGGUGGGGGUUGGAAAGUUUCGGCGGUUGGGGAUGGACUAGCGGCUUAUCAGCUUGUUGGUGGGGUAGUGGCUUACCAAGGCUUUGACGGGUAGCCGGCCUGAGAGGGUGACCGGCCACAUUGGGACUGAGAUACGGCCCAGACUCCUACGUGAGGCAGCAGUGGGGAAUAUUGCACAAUGGGCGGAAGCCUGAUGCAGCAACGCCGCGUGCGGGAUGACGGCCUUCGGGUUGUAAACCGCUUUCGCCUGUGACGAAGCGUGAGUGACGGUAAUGGGUAAAGAAGCACCGGCUAACUACGUG